CCUACGGGAGGCAGCAGUAGGGAAUUUUCCACAAUGGGCGAAGGCCUGAUGGAGCAACGCCGCGUGGGUGAAGAAGGUCUUCGGAUCGUAAAACCCUGUUGUUAGAGAAGAAAGUGCGUGAGAGUAACUGUUCACGUUUCGACGGUAUCUAACCAGAAAGCCACAGCUAACUACGUGCCAGCAGCCGCGGUAAUACGUAGGGGGCAAGCGUUAUCCGGAUUGAUUGGGCGUAAAGGGAACGCAGGCGGUCUUUUAAGUCUGAUGUGAAAGCCUUGGGCUUAACCGGAGUAGUGCUUUGGAAACUGGAAGACUUGAGUGCAGAAGAGGAAAGUGGAACUCCUGGUGUAGCGGUGAAAUGCGUAGAUAUAAGGAGGAACACCAGUGGCGAAGGCGGCUCUCUGGUCUGUAACUGACGCUGAGGUUCGAAAGCGUGGGUAGCAAACAGGAUUAGAUACCCCAGUAGUC
rnacentral:rRNA from 1 species